UGCCCUUGGGCGGCGUGCUAAUACAUGCAAGUCGAGCGGACAGAUCGGGAGCUUGCUCCCUGAUGUUAGCGGCGGACGGGUGAGUAACACGUGGGUAACCUGCCUGUAAGACUGGGAUAACUCCGGGAAACCGGGGCUAAUACCGGAUGCUUGAUUGAACCGCAUGGUUCAAUUAUAAAAGGUGGCUUUUAGCUACCACUUACAGAUGGACCCGCGGCGCAUUAGCUAGUUGGUGAGGUAACGGCUCACCAAGGCAACGAUGCGUAGCCGACCUGAGAGGGUGAUCGGCCACACUGGGACUGAGACACGGCCCAGACUCCUACGGGAGGCAGCAGUAGGGAAUCUUCCGCAAUGGACGAAAGUCUGACGGAGCAACGCCGCGUGAGUGAUGAAGGUUUUCGGAUCGUAAAACUCUGUUGUUAGGGAAGAACAAGUACCGUUCGAAUAGGGCGGUACCUUGACGGUACCUAACCAGAAAGCCACGGCUAACUACGUGCCAGCAGCCGCGGUAAUACGUAGGUGGCAAGCGUUGUCCGGAAUUAUUGGGGCGUAAAGCGCGCGCAGGCGGUUUCUUAAGUCUGAUGUGAAAGCCCCCGGCUCAACCGGGGAGGGUCAUUGGAAACUGGGGGAACUUGAGUGCAGAAGAGGAGAGUGGAAAUUCCACGUGUAGCGGUGAAAUGCGUAGAGAUGUGGGAGGAACGCCAGUGGCGAAAGCGACUCUCUGGUCUGUAACUGACGCUGAGGCGCGAAAGCGUGGGGGAGCGAACAGGAUUAGAUACCCCUGGCUAGUCCACGCCCGUAGACGAUGAGUGCUAAGUGUUAGGAGGGUUUCCGCCCCUUUAGUUGCUGCAGCAAACGCAUUAAGCACUCCGCCCUGGGGGAGUACGGUCGGCAGGACUGGAAACUCAAGGUAUUGACGGGGCCCCGCCACAAGCGAUGCAGCCAUGGUGCUUGAUCCGAAGUCACGCGAAGAAACUAACCAGGUCGUUGUACUGCAUCUGCACUAGUCCUAGGGAU
rnacentral:rRNA from 1 species